rnacentral:misc_RNA from 1 species
GAUGAAGAACGUAGCGAAAUGCGAUAAGUAAUGUGAAUUGCAGAAUUCAGUGAAUCAUCGAAUCUUUGAACGCACAUUGCGCCCCUUGGUAUUCCGAGGGGCAUGCCUAUUCGAGCGUCAUUAUCACCCCUCAAGCCUAGCUUGGUGUUGAGGCCUGCUGUCAAGGCAGCCUCUAAAAUCAGUGGCAGUGCUGUCAGGCUCUAAGCGUAGUAAAUCUAAUCGCUAUAGACACCUGGUGGACACUCGCCAGAACCCCCCCAUUUUUUAAUGAUUGACCUCGGAUUAGGUAGGGAUACCCGCUGAACUUAAGCAUAUCAAUAAGCGGAGA